GUGCUAUGUUCUGCUUCCUGUCACCACUGCUAAGACAGAUGGAGUCAUCAAGAAGUUGGUAAGCUACUUCAACUGUUUGCACUACAUGACAAUCGCUACAAGGAAAUGGGCUUCCGGUUCGAUGACCACAUAAGCCGGGAGAGGCCCAUGUGUAUCCUACCAUCAUCCAGCACACAGCAGAUGACCUGCAAAUUUCUGCAUCAUUCUCUGUUUUGACCGAAGGGUUCAUGGUCGGGCAUCCAGCAUGCUACAUUCUUUACCGUUAACGUUGUGUACAGUCCUAGAGCUUAACUAAUUAACUGUUACGUUAACGUGGAAUCACUGUUCGGAGCAUAUACAGAUUGACGCUGUGCACAAAUUACAUCGAUUAAGUACUACUAGUUGCCAUAACUAGUUGCUGUGCUUCAUUGAUUUCCAUGUAACCCUCCAUUGUAAAGGGGGUUGCCUUGGAAAGCCCACCCUUAUUCAGUUUUCGCGUGCCACAGCUGAGUGACAAGCGCCUCUGAGACUGCAAGGACACAGCACAUGUUCUUGUUAUCAGGGGGCAAACUGGGAAUUAAUCUGGAAUAGCACUAAAAUGUUACUCGAAUGUAUGGAACAGGAUACGAAAAGAUUUUGAAGACAGCGCGUAAGUGUUACUAGCAGACUUCUUAUAGAGUAACAAUGGCAGCAUCAACGGAAAGUAUGCAAGUGUUACUUGAAUUCUGUGGCAGCAUCACCAGCCUGCACAUCAGCAAGAUGUUCGUGCUGUUGCCAGAAACCUUUUUGCAUUCUAUUUUGCGCAUUUUUAGGCAACUUUUCAUAUCGAAUCACGUCCGAAUUGUUCUCUCAGGUAAUGAGAACUCGUUCUCUCCAAGCUUGGAAAUCCACAGGUUCCAUUUCCGUAUCUUCAGUACAGGAAGUAUCAGGCUGGUGGGUUUUUGAAGGCACCAACGCGUAGGUGACAUUUGGUAUCACCGCAAAUGAAAAAACAACAAGAACAAAAACUUUCAUCCUGGUCAAAAAUUAAAUAAUUCGGCUGUUCACUCUAACUGGAUGAAACUGGUUUCAAGAAGUAUAGGACAGUCAAUAGCCACUACGCUCAGCAAGUGCUAGUCCUUAAUCGAUGUGUAUCAUGAUAUUUGUGCAGGGUUGUGAACAACGUCAAAGUUGAGCAGGUGGUUCGGGUGUUUCAAUUCAAAGAGGAAAGCAUACGUGUAACUUAGUCACUUAGCCUGUUGCUGCUAUCUUGUCUUCAAAGAAGUGCUAAUUGUCAAAGCAAUAAAAAUCUCUUAUGUUAAGCCUAUAGAUGUGAUGUGAUGUGAAUAAAGCAAAAAAAGAA